UGGGAGUCUGAUACACGGAUAGAUCAGUCAUGUUCUGUCUGUCACUGAAUCUCCCUAAAUUAACACUGCUCUCUGAUGACCGGAACGACCUGAGAGAAAUCGUGACGGACAGAUACGGGGCAGACAAGU